ACCAUUACAGCUACAGUACAUGCCUUAGUUAGCAUGAUGUGAAUACCAGGAUAUGGUACAGCUGGUGAAUGGACUUCCUUUUGGGAACGGUAAAGUGAGUAACCUCUAAUGGUGUGUUUCAAAUUUUGAUGGAAGAUUCAGGAAGAUGAUGAAGAGGAAGAGGCAAAAAAUGGCACAGAAU